UGUUCCUAUUCGGCCAUCUUGGCUCUAGUUUUUUGUAUUUUUAGUAGAGACAGUGUUUCACCGUGUUAGCCAGGGUGGUCUUGAUCUCUUGACCUCGUGAUCCGCCCACCUCGGCCUCCAGAAGUGCUGAGAUUACAGGCAUGAGCCACCACGUCCAGCCUAGAAAAUGGGUUUCUAUUAUUUGAGGACAUCAAUUAGUUGAGUUGUGUGCAGUGUGGUGGUGGAGACAGUGGAGACAGUUGAGCAGCAUGUGUGCAAGCACAGACACAUCAAAGAGAGAGGUUUCUGUGACUGGCAGAUACAGCAUGAAAUGUCUCUGCGGAAGAUGCUCUUUGUGGAGUGAAUCGUUAACUGGGGAGGAGGCCACCUAGAUUCAGUUAUAGAACAUCGUGGAUUAGAUUGUCAUACAUCAAGGAGCCGAGGACCAUUCCCUGGGUAGCGAAGGCCUUCAGGACCUGGACUUCCUUUGGAAAGUCCAAACUUCCUUUGGAAAAAAGACUAAGAGGAAUUCUUCCUGAAGUUCCUUGUCUGACUGUGGCCACUGUCUCCCUGGAGAACUGCACUUAUUUCAGAAAGAAGAGAGACUUCUAGAUAAAGCGAGGUGAUGCUGGCUUCAAACCAAAUUAAAAAAAAAAGCUGGAGAUAUGCAAGUUGCUAAACCAGCCCUUCCCUCAGGCUCAAAUCAGAGGACAAUUGGUAACAACCACCUUUCUCUCAUUUGGUUUUGCAGCUCAAACAAAACUGUCACCCUCGCCAAAACCCCUGAAAUACAGAAAUGUGGUAUUAAAACAGUUAUGACUGGAAAAGAGGUUCAAUGGCCUCAUUUCAUGAUGAAAUUACCUAUUGCUCUUAUUAUGAAUAGUGAAUUCUACUGUUUAUAUAAGUUUUGAUUUAAUGUACACCUGACAUUUCAAAGUGCUCUUUCCUUUACAUUUCACUUUAUACUUGUGACAUUCUUAGAUAUGUUAUAUCCCAUUUUAGAGGGUAUAAAAACUGUGACUCAAAAUGAUUACAAGCUUUUCCCAGGAUCACUUAAUUACUUAUCAGAAGACCAGGAUUCUAGUCUUGGCUUUGCUGCUGUGUAAUGUCCUGUGCUUCUGUCUGUCUGUGCUACCCGUCUCAAAGCUAACUCUUUCUUAAGAAACUGAAAACGUCUUUAAAUUAUAUCAAAUAAGAUACAGAUUUAGAAAAUGAGAGGAAAUACUCUAGGAUUCCUUGUUGAAGAAAGUCUACAUGUUAUGAUUAUCCAGGUUUGUGCUGAUUAUUUUUGACAACAUUACAUGCAGUAAUUUAAAAAUUAUAUUUUAUACAAGACAUAGAUAAUAGUUUUAAGGAGAUAAUGAUGAUACUCUGUAAUUACACUGUGCUUUUUUAUCUUUCCAAAGAACAUUAAAAUCUAUUAUUU
rnacentral:lncRNA from 10 species